GGAAUCUCAUUCGCCGUUACCUCCGCGUCGCGGAACUCCUUGCCGGUCCAACGAAGUCUACCACAAGCAGCUGAAUUCAAGCAAAGAGGAGCUAUAUUAGGGCGCAGGCGGUGCUCGCGGCCUCGGUCCGCUGUCUCCUUCCCGCUUUCUUCUCCUCAUUUACCCGCCUCUCGCCAUGGCCGAUUCUGCCUCUGACGAUUUGGACCCGCUCCUCGAUAGCGCUUUGGACGAUUUCUCGAAGCUCGGUCUCGCUCCGGCCGCCCAGAGGAGCGAUGGUGAUGGAGACGACGGAGAGGGAAGGGCUUCGUUGCCGUCGAUGGCUUCGGCUCCGCGGGUGCAGGGAUUGGGGAUGGGAUUGCCGGACUUGGGCGGCGCGCGGAGGAAGGCCCAGCAGAGGGCCCGGCCCGGUGGGUCCCACGCCUCCGAGGCGCUCGAGAAGUUGAUGCAGCUGACGCGUGAGGCGGUGAGGGGCCUGGAGUCCGCCACGGGGGCCGCCGUCCCCAGAGGCGGCGAUGCUGGGUUUGAUGAGGACAGGAUGGUCGGCGAGUUAGUCAAGCAGUUUGAGGAGCUCGCAGGCUCGCAGGAUGUGGAAUCUAUUGUUGAAACUCUUAUGCAACAGCUUUUGUCUAAAGAAAUUCUGCAUGAGCCCAUGAGGGAAAUUGGAGAAAGAUAUCCAAAGUGGUUGGAAGAGAACAAAAAUGAUCUGAACCCGGAAGAAUAUGACCGCUAUUAUCGCCAAUAUGAGCUUAUAUUGAAGCUAAAUGAUGUUUAUGAAAAUGACCCUGAAAACUUCUCCAAGAUUGUUGAUCUCAUGCAGACUAUACAGGAAUGUGGUCAACCACCCAGUGAUAUUGUACAAGAACUUGCUCCUGAUCUUGAUCUAAGCAACUUCGGCCAAUUAUCCCCUGAUCAACUCGAUGCCACAUCCGAUUGUUGUAUAAUGUGAGAACGGAGAAGGAUGGCUACAGAUGUGAUAUGACAAAAAAUGGCAGCACAGUCGGACGAGACAGAAGCGGGUAACGGUUUAAGCUCGCCCAUACCCUGCGAUCCCCCGGUCUCCCACGCAACCCCCUGAGCGACACACUGCCCGAGGCUCUCCAUACCCUGCAGCAGCUCGGCCUCCCAUGCAACCCCAGCGGUAACAUCAAACCUCCUCUAUAAAUACCCCUGAGUCCUAAGCAAAAGGGGGGGAACUCACUCAGACACAAAACACUCAGAGGCUCUUCUUCUGCCUCAUCCACAAUCCCCUCCACAUCUUCCUCUAACUUGAUCGUCGGAGGGGUCGGGCCGAGCUCCCGGCCCGACCUGUGUGCAGGUGCGAGACGGUGUCGCCUCUUCCCGAAGCUGCGGCGGAGCUGCCUCCCGACCCGAGCCGCCGACCCGAACCGCCGACCCGACCUGCCGAACCGACCUCCCGACCCGAACCACCGAGCUUGGCCACCGGGAGACCUCGAGGAGCGCCCCCACGGAGAUCACCGCCUUCCGGACCCGAACCAAGCCGCGACGGCCCCGAGGCCACGGCUAAAAAAGUUACUUACCGUAACAUAAUGGCGCUACAAGGAGGGCCCGAAAUGACGGUGCGAGACGGUGUCGCCUCUUCCCGAAGCUGCGGCGGAGCUGCCUCCCGACCCGAGCCGCCGACCCGACCUGCCGAACCGACCUCCCGACCCGAACCACCGAGCUCGGCCACCGGGAGACCUCGAGGAGCGCCCCCACGGAGAUCACCGCCUUCCGGACCCGAACCAAGCCGCGACGACCCCGAGGCCACGGCUAAAAAAGUUACUUACCGUAACAGGAUGGCUACAAUCCCCUGAUCAACUCGAUGCCACAUCCGAUUGUUGUAUAAUGUGAGAACGGAGAAGGGCAUUUUUUUACAAUAUGACAAAUAAUUAGCUGGUUUCUUCUUCCCCUAAUAUGUUAACAAUGAGUUAUUUCUUGUCAGUUUUUUCUCUGAUUCUUUGCUGUGAAAGACGUUUAAUAGCCAAUAUAUGAAGAAUAUUGUAUUUCCAAA